rfam:Choloepus hoffmanni cont1.643132, whole genome shotgun sequence.
CCUUCAGGGCGCCACAAGACCUGUCUUUCGAAUUUUAACAUAAUAAAUACAAAUGGGAUCAGAACGUGAGGGGGCAGGGGCCACGUGAUCCCUACACGAAAGACACUUG